rnacentral:rRNA from 1 species
CCCGCUGAACUUAAGCAUAUCAAUAAGCGGAGGAAAAGAAACUAACAAGGAUUCCCCUAGUAACGGCGAGUGAAGCGGGAUGAGCUCAAAUUUAAAAUCUGGCUGGUUUACUAGUCCGAAUUGUAGUUUAUAGAAGCGUUUUCGGUGGCAGCCUGGGUAUAAAUCCUUUGGAAUAGGGUAUCAUAGAGGGUGAGAAUCCCGUCUUUGACUCAGUGCAUGCUACUAUGUGAUACGUUUUCAAAGAGUCGAGUUGUUUGGGAAUGCAGCUCAAAAUGGGUGGUAAAUUUCAUCUAAAGCUAAAUAUUGGCGAGAGACCGAUAGCGAACAAGUACCGUGAGGGAAAGAUGAAAAGAACUUUGAAAAGAGAGUUAAACAGUGCGUGAAAUUGUUGAAAGGGAAACGUUUGACACCAGUUAUGCGGGUGGAAAAUCAGUCUUUUGCAAUGGGGAGUUGUGGGCGUUCAGACCGCAAGGCGGGCGUUUGCUUCAUCUUUGUUGUAAGUGAUGCACUUUUUCAUUUGCAGGUCAACAUCAGUUUGCUUUGCUGGACAAAACACCAAGGGAAGGUGGCAGCUUAGGCUGUGUUAUAGCCCUGGGGCGAUACAGUGGAGUGGACUGAGGUUUCGCAGUGUGUGCUCUCGGGCAAGGCAGACUGGGUGCUAUGGGAUUGUUUUGAGUAGAAUGAAGGCAUUCUGCGUCGUGUCUUUUUCACACUCGCUCAAGUCGGGUCUUCCACACUUAGGAGGUUGACUUAAUGGUUUUAAACGACCCGUCUUGAAACACGG